UACGUAGGCAGCAAGCGUUGUUCGGAAUCACUGGGCGUAAAGGGCGCGUAGGUGGCGACCCAAGUCGAUGGUGAAAGCUCGCCGCUCAACGGCGAGUCGGCCACCGAUACUGGGUUGCUGGAGCACUGUAGAGGCAGAUGGAAUUCCGGGUGUAGCGGUGGAAUGCGUAGAGAUCCGGAAGAACACCGGUGGCGAAGGCGGUCUGCUGGGCAGUUGCUGACACUGAGGCGCGACAGCGUGGGGAG
rnacentral:rRNA from 1 species